rnacentral:rRNA from 1 species
CGUGGAUGAUGAAGGCCUUCGGGUUGUAAAAUCCUGUCAGAUGGAAAGAAGUGUGUAUUGCCUAAUACGUGAUACAUUUGACGGUACCAUCAAAGGAAGCACCGGCUAACUCCGUGCCAGCAGCCGCGGUAAUACGGAGGGUGCAAGCGUUGUUCGGAAUUACUGGGCGUAAAGCGCGCGUAGGCGGUUUUAUAAGUCAUUUGUGAAAGUCCCUGGCUCAACCAGGGAAGUGCAUGUGAAACUGUAAGACUUGAGUAUUGGAGGGGGUGGUGGAAUUCCCGGUGUAGAGGUGAAAUUCGUAGAUAUCGGGAGGAAUACCGGUGGCGAAGGCGACCACCUGGCCAAAUACUGACGCUGAGGUGCGAAGGCGUGGGGAGCAAACAGGAUUAGAUACCCUGGUAGUCCACGCGGUAAACGAUGAGAACUAGGUGUUGGGAUGGUUAAUCGUCUCAUUGCCGGAGCUAACGCAUUAA